GGAGGGCUAGGAUUGCAAAAAUCUAGUCUGAAGAACAAAACUGCCCUUGCAAAUCUAGCUUGGAGAGCUUACAAGAACACUAAUACCCUUUGGGCCAGAGCGUUGAUCCAUAAAUAUUGUGACAUGUCCAAAAAUGCCUCAGCCUUGAGAAGCACAUACACUCAAAAAUCUCCAAUAUGGAAGGGCCUUCUAAAGGGCUGGAAAACUUGUAGCAAAAGUCAAUA
rnacentral:lncRNA from 1 species